CCUACGGGGGGCAGCAGUGGGGAAUCUUGCGCAAUGGGCGAAAGCCUGACGCAGCAACGCCGCGUGGGGGAUGAAGGCUCUCGGGUUGUAAACCCCUUUCAGUAGGGACGCGGUACCUACAGAAGAAGCCCCGGCCAACUACGUGCCAGCAGCCGCGGUAACACGUAGGGGGCAAGCGUUGUCCGGAUUUAUUGGGCGUAAAGAGCUCGUAGGCGGUUCGGUAAGUUGGGUGUGAAACCUCCAGGCUCAACCUGGAGACGCCACCCGAUACUGCUGGACUAGAGUCCGGUAGGGGAGCGUGGAAUUCCUGGUGUAGCGGUGAAAUGCGCAGAUAUCAGGAGGAACACCAGCGGCGAAGGCGGCGCUCUGGGCCGGACUGACGCUGAGGAGCGAAAGCGUGGGUAGCAAACAGGAUUAGAUACCCUUGUAGUC
rnacentral:rRNA from 1 species